UCUUCAAAUUUAGCAAAGUCUCUGCAGCUUCUCACUGACACACUGACAUCCUGACGAGACCUGAUAUAAAACAUGCUGAGUUGCUACACUGCCUCGCAUGCAUCACUUCAGAUGCGCCCCAGUGGAGCGGAGGCUGAAUGGUUUCAGGUUCCAGACGUCCUCAGCGUCUGAGGGUGCUGCGCAUGUCCUCGUAAACCUCAUUGUUGGGAACACGUCUCGACUUCUCUGACGGGCGAAACGUCUUUGUCUGAUACCUUGAGGGUGAUCCAGAGGAAGAAGCCCAGCAUGAAGCCAAACAGCACAACAGCAGAGAUCACAACAGUCACCAGCAGCAGCGUCUGUUGAUCUGUUUCACAUGCUGGUUUUCCAUCGGCAGACCCACCCCGAUCUUCUGGAAAUCAAAUUCUUAUAUUACAAAUCUGUUUUCCUGAUGAAAAAUGUGAUGUCUGGUUGGAGUCUUUCUGAUGCAAUCCUUACAAAUGCGUAUCACGCUCAGAGAAAUUAAAAACACGAGUGAAGAUUUAAAAAAAAAAAUGAUGCUAAAGCAGAAGUUUACUUUCUGUGACUGAAUAAAUGCUUGAAUUAUUGUAUAAAUGUCACAUUUUAAUCACUUA